AGUGAACGCUGGCGGUAGGCCUAACACAUGCAAGUCGAACGGCAGCACAGUAAGAGCUUGCUCUUACGGGUGGCGAGUGGCGGACGGGUGAGGAAUACAUCGGAAUCUACUUUUUCGUGGGGGAUAACGUAGGGAAACUUACGCUAAUACCGCAUACGACCUACGGGUGAAAGCAGGGGAUCUUCGGACCUUGCGCGAUUGAAUGAGCCGAUGUCGGAUUAGCUCGUUGGCGGGGUAAAGGCCCACCAAGGCGACGAUCCGUAGCUGGUCUGAGAGGAUGAUCAGCCACACUGGAACUGAGACACGGUCCAGACUCCUACGGGAGGCAGCAGUGGGGAAUAUUGGACAAUGGGCGCAAGCCUGAUCCAGCCAUACCGCGUGGGUGAAGAAGGCCUUCGGGUUGUAAAGCCCUUUUGCUGGGAAAGAAAAGCAGCAGGUUAAGACCCCGCUGUUCUGACGGUACCCAAAGAAUAAGCACCGGCUAACUUCGUG
rnacentral:rRNA from 1 species